rnacentral:rRNA from 1 species
CUGGCGGCAGGCCUAACACAUGCAAGUCGAGCGGUAGAGAGAAGCUUGCUUCUCUUGAGAGCGGCGGACGGGUGAGUAAUGCCUAGGAAUCUGCCUGGUAGUGGGGGAUAACGUCCGGAAACGGACGCUAAUACCGCAUACGUCCUACGGGAGAAAGCAGGGGACCUUCGGGCCUUGCGCUAUCAGAUGAGCCUAGGUCGGAUUAGCUAGUUGGUGGGGUAAUGGCUCACCAAGGCGACGAUCCGUAACUGGUCUGAGAGGAUGAUCAGUCACACUGGAACUGAGACACGGUCCAGACUCCUACGGGAGGCAGCAGUGGGGAAUAUUGGACAAUGGGCGAAAGCCUGAUCCAGCCAUGCCGCGUGUGUGAAGAAGGUCUUCGGAUUGUAAAGCACUUUAAGUUGGGAGGAAGGGCAGU